AGAAAUUGAGGUAGAGUUAAGUGACUUGCCCAAUGUCACACAGUAAGUGUCUGAAGUAGAAUUUGAAUUCUGGAUGAAUUCUUGACUACAGGAUCAGCACUCUAUGCACUGUGAACCCUGAAACUGUCCUCCUUGACUUUUGAGAAUCACAGAAUUUCCCCAGAAGGAAAUGGCAAACUACUCUAGUAUCUUUGCCAAGAAAACUCCAAAUGAGGUCUUGAAGAAUUGGACACAACUGAGAAAUGAUAAAACAAAACAACUACAAUUACUGAUGAUUUCCUCUUCAUUAGGAGACUUCAGAUAAAGUACUCACUAUAGGACACUCCAUUGUAAUGGGGGAGAAGGAAGACCAGUAAAAUCAAUUAAUACAACAACUACAGAGCAUGUAACAUUCAGCACACGAAGUCUGCUGCUUCUCUACUGAGAUCCAACAUCGUUCUUCUGGAACCAAGUUUCAUCACUUGAGUUAUGUGAGCUGAACAAUCUGCCCAGCAGAAAGCCCCAGAGAGAACAGAGAGCAAGGGCAGCUGCAAGAAGAAAAUGACUUCCAGUACCAGGAGGUGUGAAUUACCCUUUGCCACAUAUAAAAUUUACAUGUGGGAGAAUUCUGGGAAGAUGGGGGAAUAGAUCAGUAAAUUUCAAGUUCUCAAUUUCCCCCACAAUCAAAACAAAUUUGCACCUCAGGAUAAACAUAAACUGAUGAAAAAUCAGAAAAACUUGGGGCAGAAUAGGGUCUACCCAGGACAACAUGGAAAACUGGAAGAAAGACCCCAGACUGGGGUCCAAGUUAGCUCUACAGAAACACCUAGUGGGGACCUCUGGGGCUAGCUGGAUUUAGAGAGAACCUCAGCAGGAACCACAGGAACUUGUAUCUCCUCGACUGCUUGAGGAGUCUGGGUCUGAGUUGCAGCAGACUGAGUGAGUGAACCUCGGCUGAUUAGGAUCACCAAGCACAUAUGUGCUGCAGGGAUGCAGCCGGGGCAAGAAGGAAUCAGCAUACUGGGAAUGAAAGAGCAGUAGAGCAAGGACACUGCUGGGUGUGGGCACUUACAAGAGGGGAAGCUUUUGGUUUGGGAUUCCAGGUCAGGAAGGAGAGCUGAAGUGAGGCUAGAGAUAGCAUCCUCCUCCACACACAAAUUAGAAGUAAUACUUCCCAUUAAAAAGAAAUGAGCCAGCAAAGAAGAAAGAACCCCACCACAGAAACUUUCUAUGGAAAUACAGAAGACAGGGGUUCAUCUUUAGAGGAAGACACUGAAAUUU